rnacentral:rRNA from 1 species
AGAUGGCGACCGGCGCACGGGUGCGCACCGCGUAUGGAACCUGCCCUUUACAGGGGAAUAGCCCGGGGAAACCCGGAUUAAUGCCCCGUAGCAUCGCGCUUCCGCCUGGUCGCGCGAUUAAAGCCUUCGGGCGGUAGAGGAUGGCCAUGCGUCCCAUUAGCUCGAUGGUAGGGUAACGGCCUACCAUGGCGACGAUGGGUAGGGGCCCUGAGAGGGGGAUCCCCCACACUGGUACUGAGACACGGACCAGACUCCUACGGGAGGCAGCAGUGAGGAAUAUUGGACAAUGGGCGAGGGCCUGAUCCAGCCAUGCCGCGUGCAGGAAGAAUGCCCUAUGGGUAGUAAACUGCUUUUAUACGGGAAGAAAUAGGGGCACGCGUGCCCCGUUGACGGUACCGUAAGAAUAAGGACCGGCUAACUCCGUGCCAGCAGCCGCGGUAAUACGGAGGGUCCGAGCGUUAUCCGGAAUCAUUGGGUUUAAAGGGUCCGUAGGCGGGCCGUUAAGUCAGGGGUGAAAGUCUGCGGCUCAACCGUAGAAAUGCCUUUGAUACUGGCGGUCUUGAGUUAUGGCGAAGUGGGCGGAAUAUGUAGUGUAGCGGUGAAAUGCAUAGAUAUUACAUAGAACACCGAUUGCGAAGGCAGCCCACUAGCCAUGGACUGACGCUGAUGGACGAAAGCGUGGGGAGCGAACAGGAUUAGAUACCCUGGUAGUCCACGCCGUAAACGAUGGAUACUAGCUGUCCGGGCCCUUGAGGCCUGGGCGGCCAAGCGAAAGUGAUAAGUAUCCCACCUGGGGAGUA